GAGCAGUUAGUUCAUCCUUUGCUUUCCAUGAUCAUCUCUGAGCGUUUGUUUGGUUAGAGGUUAGGAAAUUGUCAGUACCGCAGAGCCAGGAAGCAACCUUGGCAAGGCGGAAAACCAGAAUGCGAGUGCCUGAAAUCCUUCUUUCUCUUCCCACCCUCCCCUUGCUAUGUAGCAACAGUGUUGAGGAGACCACCAACUCUUCUUGGGUGGUUUAUGAGUCA
rnacentral:lncRNA from 1 species